rnacentral:rRNA from 1 species
AAUCAACGCUGGCGGCGUGCCUCAGACAUGCAAGUUGAACGAUUAAAGCUCUCUUCGGAGAGUGCAUAAAGUGGCGCACGGGUGAGUAACACGUAAGUAAUCUACCCUCGAGUGGGGAAUAACGUCCGGAAACGGACGCUAAUACCGCAUAACGCAGCGGCACCGCAAGGUGACAGUUGUUAAAGGAGAAAUUCGCUUGAGGAGGAGCUUGCGGCAGAUUAGCUUGUUGGUAAGGUAACGGCUUACCAAGGCUACGAUCUGUAACCGGUCUAAGAGGACGGUCGGUCACACUGACACUGAAUAACGGGUCAGACUCCUACGGGAGGCAGCAGUCGGGAAUUUUGGGCAAUGGGGGAAACCCUGACCCAGCAACGCCGCGUGAAGGAUGAAGUAUUUCGGUAUGUAAACUUCGAAAGAAUGGGAAGAAUAAAUGACGGUACCAUUUAUAAGGUCCGGCUAACUACGUGCCAGCCGCCGCAGUAAU